rnacentral:rRNA from 1 species
CAGUCGCCACGGGAAUACAGAGGGUGCGAGCGUUAAUCGGAUUUACUGGGCGUAAAGCGUGCGUAGGCGGCUUUUUAAGUCGGAUGUGAAAUCCCUGAGCUUAACUUGGGAAUUGCAUUCGAUACUGGUUAGCUAGAGUGUGGGAGAGGAUGGUAGAAUUCCAGGUGUAGCGGUGAAAUGCGUAGAGAUCUGGAGGAAUACCGAUGGCGAAGGCAGCCAUCUGGCCUAACACUGACGCUGAGGUACGAAAGCAUGGGGAGCAAACAGGAUUAGAUACCCCGGUAGUCCCUGUCUCUUAUAC